GAUGAACGCUGGCGGCGUGCCUAAUACAUGCAAGUCGAGCGAACGGACGAGAAGCUUGCUUCUCUGAUGUUAGCGGCGGACGGGUGAGUAACACGUGGAUAACCUACCUAUAAGACUGGGAUAACUUCGGGAAACCGGAGCUAAUACCGGAUAAUAUUUUGAACCGCAUGGUUCAAAAGUGAAAGACGGUCUUGCUGUCACUUAUAGAUGGAUCCGCGCUGCAUUAGCUAGUUGGUAAGGUAACGGCUUACCAAGGCAACGAUGCAUAGCCGACCUGAGAGGGUGAUCGGCCACACUGGAACUGAGACACGGUCCAGACUCCUACGGGAGGCAGCAGUAGGGAAUCUUCCGCAAAGGGCGUAAGCCUGACGGAGCAACGCCGCGUGAGUGAUGAAGGUCUUCGGAUCGUAAAACUCUGUUAUUAGGGAAGAACAUAUGUGUAAGUAACUGUGCACAUCUUGACGGUACCUAAUCAGAAAGCCACGGCUAACUACGUG
rnacentral:rRNA from 1 species